UGCCCGAAAUCCACUGUUUCCGCUGUUGGCAUCGGAAUUGUCCACAAUCCAGCCUGCCGCCCUGUUUUCUGUCUGAAACCGGUCUGCUCUGCGGCAAAAGCUGUAACCUCACUCUGUCUGAUUCCCCAGAAUAUCCCCAUAACAAGCCCCAGCAUCAGAAAUACAUUUCUCUUCCAUCUCAUUCCAUAAACACCUUCAAUGUCUCCACCAGCGACAGCACCACCGGCGCGCUCACCGCGAGGAUCGCCAGCUUCCCAACCAUCUCCACCUGGGUCCCCACUGCAGAGUAUCCGGCAUCCUUGCAGAUCCCCGACGUGAACUCUGCGAUAUAUGUGAUUCCCGCCAUCUUGAAUAACGCCGCCAGAUACACAUGCCGGAUCCUGAUCCCGUUUCCUAUCUCCCGCAGGGUGUCCAAAAGCACACCCAGUCUUGCCAGACCAAGAAAUCCGACUCCGAUGGAUGCCGCCAGAACCAGGUACACCGCGUACUCUGGCUUCAGCGGUUUUAACUGCGCCGCAAGCAAAACUGCCGUAAGCCCCAGAAGUGCCGCCUGAACUACCGCCAUAACUCUUUGAAACUGUUGUUCUUGAGUGAGGUAGAGGUAAGCGGAAUUCCUGGUGUAGCGGUGAAAUGCGUAGAGAUCAGGAGGAACAUCGGUGGCGAAGGCGGCUUACUGGGCCUUUACUGACGCUGAGGCUCGAAAGCGUGGGGAGCAAACAGGAUUAGAUACCCUGGUAGUCCACGCCGUAAACGAUGAUUACUAGGUGUGGGGGGACUGACCCCUUCCGUGCCGCAGUUAACACAAUAAGUAAUCCACCUGGGGAGUACGGCCGCAAGGUUGAAACUCAAAGGAAUUGACGGGGGCCCGCACAAGCAGUGGAGUAUGUGGUUUAAUUCGAAGCAACGCGAAGAACCUUACCAGGUCUUGACAUCGAGUGACGUACCUAGAGAUAGGUAUUUUCUUCGGAACACAAAGACAGGUGGUGCAUGGUUGUCGUCAGCUCGUGUCGUGAGAUGUUGGGUUAAGUCCCGCAACGAGCGCAACCCUUACCAUUAGUUGCUACGCAAGAGCACUCUAAUGGGACUGCCGUUGACAAAACGGAGGAAGGUGGGGAUGACGUCAAAUCAUCAUGCCCCUUAUGACCUGGGCUACACACGUACUACAAUGGCAAUAUAACAGAGGGAAGCAAUACAGCGAUGUGGAGCAAAUCCCCAAAAAUUGUCCCAGUUCAGAUUGCAGGCUGCAACUCGCCUGCAUGAAGUCGGAAUUGCUAGUAAUCGCAGAUCAGCAUGCUGCGGUGAAUACGUUCCCGGGCCUUGUACACACCGCCCGUCACGCCAUGGGAGUCGGUAACACCCGAAGCCUGUAGUCUAACCGCAAGGAGGACGCAGUCGAAGGUGGGAUUGAUGACUGGGGUGAAGUCGUAACAAGGUAGCCGUAUCGGAAGGUGCGGCUG
rnacentral:rRNA from 1 species